rnacentral:rRNA from 1 species
UACGGAGGUGGCAAGCGUUGUUCGGAAUUACUGGGCGUAAAGGGCGCGUAGGCGGCAAGGCAAGUCAGGUGUGAAAGCCCCGAGCUUAACUCGGGAAUUGCAUCUGAAACUGCUGUGCUUGAGUUCUGGAGGGGGUAGUGGAAUUCCCAGUGUAGCGGUGAAAUGCGUAGAUAUUGGGAGGAACACCUGCGGCGAAGGCGGGUUGCUGGGCUGACACUGACGCUGAACUGCGAAAGCCAGGGGAGCGAACGGG